GCCGCUACGUGGCCGGUCUGGCCGCACC
rnacentral:sRNA from 1 species